ACGAACGCUGGCGGCAUGCCUAACACAUGCAAGUCGAACGAGACCUUCGGGUCUAGUGGCGCACGGGUGCGUAACGCGUGGGAACCUGCCCUUAGGUUCGGAAUAACUCCCCGAAAGGGGUGCUAAUACCGGAUAAUGUCUUCGGACCAAAGAUUUAUCGCCUUUGGAUGGGCCCGCGUUGGAUUAGCUAGCUGGUAGGGUAAAAGCCUACCAAGGCGACGAUCCAUAGCUGGUCUGAGAGGAUGAUCAGCCACACUGGGACUGAGACACGGCCCAGACUCCUACGGGAGGCAGCAGUGGGGAAUAUUGGACAAUGGGCGAAAGCCUGAUCCAGCAAUGCCGCGUGAGUGAUGAAGGCCUUAGGGUUGUAAAGCUCUUUUAACCGGGAUGAUAAUGACAGUACCGGGAGAAUAAGCACCGGCUAACUCCGUG
rnacentral:rRNA from 1 species